rnacentral:lncRNA from 1 species
GGAAAAAGGAGUAGCAAUGGAUUGGCCCACCAGUACUCCUGCCCCAAAGUCAACUCGUUAGGCAAAUCAAAUGGAGGUGCAUGGCAGGUGGUACCCCAAAGCUACCGUGCAUGCUCUUACUGUUGACCUGUUCUGUCCUCUGCUCAGUGUCUCACACAGACUGGGACACCCUGAACAAAUGUGAUGGACUGUUUCCCAGUCUUCUAUAGCCGUUAUUGUGGCAUGGGCUCUGUAGUUUAAGAAGAAAUUCAACUUCCCAACCUUUGAAAAAGCCUUAAAAUCAAAGUUUUAAUCCAAAAAUCCAUAACCACUCCUUUUCUUAGAGUGUCUAAUCAGUACAUGCAAAGGCCUUUUCUUGAAGGGGCUUUGACACCUGUGGCCUUUUUGUUAGUGUUUAUGACCGGAAUGGAACAGGCAGUUUUAUUCUGCCUGGUGUGUAGAAGAGUCAUGCAGAGGUUAAAUGCUGUCUUUUAAUGCACAGAGAGUUGAUGUAGUUUAGGAAAAUGGUGCUGGUGUCCCUUGGCCUCUAGCCAGGGUGGAAAAUUUCAGACUACCUACCUUUAAAAGUCCUAGAGUACAGAUUAACUCGAGAUCUGUUAUGUAAACACACUUUUCUCUAAAUUGAAAUAUUGUUAUUUCCUUGUGGCAUAAGUAAUUAUUGCUAGAAGCAAUAUUUAACUGUUAUAAUAAGCUUAAAUGAUACUUUGUUUCCUUGUACUUCAAACCUGUUCUCCCACUUGUGUUAUAAUCUAUUGUUUCUAAUCAGCUGCCUUGAAUCUAAGCUUUCACUGUGACGUGUGUCCAGUUUGCAUGUGGAUUAUGAGGCUUUCCUGAUGUAGAGGUGAGCACGCCCUCCUCAGAGCACCAUUCGGAUGCUAAACCGGUGGUUUCUCACCUUAACUAUAUUAACCUUGCAUGAUGUCGCUUGCUUCCCGACGCACCUGAAAGCAUCCAUCUGGAUCACUUGUUUACGUCUCAAACACUCGUCUAGACUCUGAGUUCGUAGAGUCAUCGCGUUGAGACUCUAUCUUUUAUAUUAUUUCUUAGUGCUUUUUGCUCACUGAAAUUUCUAAAGAUGGUUUUUGCCUUUGAAGAGGGGGACGGGGAGAGAGAGUAAAAAAAAAAAAAAAAAA